UACGGGAGGCAGCAGUGGGGAAUAUUGCACAAUGGGCGCAAGCCUGAUGCAGCCAUGCCGCGUGUAUGAAGAAGGCCUUCGGGUUGUAAAGUACUUUCAGUCGUGAGGAAGGUGUUAAGGUUAAUAACCUUAGCAAUUGACGUUAGCGACAGAAGAAGCACCGGCUAACUCCGUGCCAGCAGCCGCGGUAAUACGGAGGGUGCGAGCGUUAAUCGGAAUUACUGGGCGUAAAGGGCACGCAGGCGGUUAAUUAAGUUGGAUGUGAAAUCCCCGGGCUUAACCUGGGAAUGGCAUUCAAGACUGGUUAGCUAGAGUCUUGUAGAGGGGGUAGAAUUCCAUGUGUAGCGGUGAAAUGCGUAGAGAUGUGGAGGAAUACCGGUGGCGAAGGCGGCCCCUGGCAAAGACUGACGCUCAUGUGCGAAAGCGUGGGGAGCAAA
rnacentral:rRNA from 1 species